GAUAACCUGCCCUUGGGUCCGGCAUAACCCCGGGAAACUGGGGAUAAUUCCGGAUAACGCACAUAUGCUGGAAUGCUUUUUGCGUAAAAUGGAUUCGUCUGCCCAAGGAUGGGCCUGCGGCCUAUCAGGUAGUAGUGGGUGUAAUGUACCUACUAGCCUACGACGGGUACGGGUUGUGAGAGCAAGAGCCCGGAGAUGGAUUCUGAGACAUGAAUCCAGGCCCUACGGGGCGCAGCAGGCGCGAAAACUUUACAAUGCGGGAAACCGUGAUAAGGGGACACCGAGUGCCAGCGUCAUACGCUGGCUGUCCAGGUGUGUAAAAUACACCUGUUAGCAAGGGCCGGGCAAGACCGGUGCCAGCCGCCGCGGUAACACCGGCGGCCCGAGUGGUGAUCGUGAUUAUUGGGUCUAAAGGGUCCGUAGCCGGUUUGGUCAGUCCUCCGGGAAAUCUGAUAGCUCAACUAUUAGGCUUUCGGAGGAUACUGCCAGACUUGGAACCGGGAGAGGUAAGAGGUACUACAGGGGUAGGAGUGAAAUCUUGUAAUCCCUGUGGGACCACCUGUGGCGAAGGCGUCUUACCAGAACGGGUUCGACGGUGAGGGACGAAAGCUGGGGGCACGAACCGGAUUAGAUACCCGGGUAGUCCCAGCCGUAAACGAUGCUCGCUAGGUGUCAGGCAUGGCGCGACCGUGUCUGGUGCCGCAGGGAAGCCGUGAAGCGAGCCACCUGGGAAGUACGGCCGCAAGGCUGAAACUUAAAGGAU
rnacentral:rRNA from 1 species